UCUUGGUCAAUUUAGAGGAAGUAAAAGUCGUAACAAGGUUUCCGUAGGUGAACCUGCGGAAGGAUCAUUAUUGAAUAAACUUGGUUGGGUUGCUGCUGGUUCUUCGGAACAUGUGCACACCUGGCGCCAUUUUUACCACCUGUGCACCUUUUGUAGACCUGGAUAUCUCUCGAGGAAACUCGGUUUGAGGACUGCUGUGCGCAAGCCAGCUUUCCUUACAUUUCCGGUCUAUGUUUUUAUAUACCCCAUCAGAAUGUAACAGAAUGUCAUUAAUAGGCCUUGGUGCCUUUAAAUAAAAUACAACUUUCAACAACGGAUCUCUUGGCUCUCGCAUCGAUGAAGAACGCAGCGAAAUGCGAUAAGUAAUGUGAAUUGCAGAAUUCAGUGAAUCAUCGAAUCUUUGAACGCACCUUGCGCUCCUUGGUAUUCCGAGGAGCAUGCCUGUUUGAGUGUCAUUAAAUUCUCAACCUUUCUGGCUUUUAUUAGUCCGUUAGGCUUGGAUGUGGGAGUUGCGGGCUUCUCAGAAGUCAGCUCUCCUUAAAUGCAUUAGCGAAACCUUUGUUGACCAUCUCUGGUGUGAUAAUUAUCUACGCCAUUGGGAAGCAGCUUUAAAAUCGGUUUAGCUUCUAACCGUCUUCUGGACAAUUCUUGACAUUUGACCUCAAAUCAGGUAGGACUACCCGCUGAACUUAAGCAUAUCAAUAAGCGGAGGAAAAGAAACUAACAAGGAUUCCCCUAGUAACUGCGAGUGAAGCGGGAAAAGCUCAAAUUUAAAAUCUGGUAGUCCUUGCGGCUGCCCGAGUUGUAAUCUAGAGAAGCGUUAUCCGCGCUGGACCGUGUACAA
rnacentral:rRNA from 1 species